CAACUGCAGAGUACAUGGGUGAGCAGCAUAAGCACCGACGAUGGGUCCUCGACACAGGAGCAACAAACCGUAUGACCGGGGCCAGGUCUG